rnacentral:rRNA from 1 species
UACGUAGGGCGCAAGCGUUGUCCGGAAUUAUUGGGCGUAAAGAGCUCGUAGGCGGCUUGUCACGUCGGGUGUGAAAGACCGGGGCUUAACCCCGGUUCUGCAUUCGAUACGGGCUGGCUAGAGUGUGGUAGGGGAGAUCGGAAUUCCUGGUGUAGCGGUGAAAUGCGCAGAUAUCAGGAGGAACACCGGUGGCGAAGGCGGAUCUCUGGGCCUUACCUGACGCUCAGGCGCGAAAGCUAGGGGAGCGAACAGG